rnacentral:rRNA from 1 species
UACGUAGGGCGCAAGCGUUGUCCGGAAUUAUUGGGCGUAAAGAGCUCGUAGGCGGUCUGUCACGUCGGAUGUGAAAAUCCAGGGCUUAACCCUGGACCUGCAUUCGAUACGGGCAGACUAGAGUUCGGUAGGGGAGACUGGAAUUCCUGGUGUAGCGGUGAAAUGCGCAGAUAUCAGGAGGAACACCGGUGGCGAAGGCGGGUCUCUGGGCCGAUACUGACGCUGAGGAGCGAAAGCGUGGGGAGCGAACAGG